CACGACCUCUCCUGCUGCGGGAGAACACGAACCGAUACUCGCUGUGACACUCCCACCCAGCGCCCCGUCAUCCUCCUCGCCAGGAUCCCCGGGGACAGAUUGUGAAAAUACGGCCAGCCCCGGGAAGGGCAGGAUUUAGAAGGUAAAGCACAGGAGCUGUGACUCAACAUUAACCUGUGUGACCCUGUUUGCUGUAUCACCUGCAUUCAGAUUACAAUCCAGUUGCACUGAUAACAUGACCUACCCAAGUACAACCGAGGCACUUCCAGAAUGGCCAUAAGGAAAAGCACGGCAAGAUCAGGAGCCAAAAAAUCAUCUGGAUAACUGAAAACCUG